rnacentral:rRNA from 1 species
AACGCUAGCUACAGGCUUAACACAUGCAAGUCGAGGGGCAGCAUGGUCUUAGCUUGCUAAGGCCGAUGGCGACCGGCGCACGGGUGAGUAACACGUAUCCAACCUGCCGUCUACUCUUGGACAGCCUUCUGAAAGGAAGAUUAAUACAAGAUGGCAUCAUGAGUCCGCAUGUUCACAUGAUUAAAGGUAUUCCGGUAGACGAUGGGGAUGCGUUCCAUUAGAUAGUAGGCGGGGUAACGGCCCACCUAGUCUUCGAUGGAUAGGGGUUCUGAGAGGAAGGUCCCCCACAUUGGAACUGAGACACGGUCCAAACUCCUACGGGAGGCAGCAGUGAGGAAUAUUGGUCAAUGGGCGAGAGCCUGAACCAGCCAAGUAGCGUGAAGGAUGACUGCCCUAUGGGUUGUAAACUUCUUUUAUAAAGGAAUAAAGUCGGGUAUGGAUACCCGUUUGCAUGUACUUUAUGAAUAAGGAUCGGCUAACUCCGUGCCAGCAGCCGCGGUAAUACGGAGGAUCUGAGCGUUAUCCGGAUUUAUUGGGUUUAAAGGGAGCGUAGAUGGAUAUUUAAGUCAGUUGUGAAAGUUUGCGGCUCAACCGUAAAAUUGCAGUUGAUACUGGAUAUCUUGAGUGCAGUUGAGGCAGGCGGAAUUCGUGGUGUAGCGGUGAAAUGCUUAGAUAUCACGAAGAACUCCGAUUG